rnacentral:rRNA from 1 species
AGUGAACGCUGGCGGCGUGCCUAAUACAUGCAAGUCGAACGGAGAUUAAGUAGCUUGCUAUUUACUCUUAGUGGCGCACGGGUGAGUAAUAUAUAGCUAACUUGCCCAUUACUAAGGGACAACAGUUGGAAACGACUGCUAAUACCUUAUACUCCGUAUCUAUAUAAGUAGAUACGGGAAAGUUUUUCGGUAAUGGAUAGGGCUAUAUCGUAUCAGCUAGUUGGUAAGGUAAUGGCUUACCAAGGCUAUGACGCGUAACUGGUCUGAGAGGAUGAUCAGUCACACUGGAACUGAGACACGGUCCAGACUCCUACGGGAGGCAGCAGUAGGGAAUAUUGCUCAAUGGGGGAAACCCUGAAGCAGCAACGCCGCGUGGAGGAUGACACUUUUCGGAGCGUAAACUCCUUUUCUUGGGAAAGAAUUAUGACGGUACCCAAGGAAUAAGCACCGGCUAACUCCGUG